UGGCCAGAAGGCUGAAGACAGAUGCUCCAAGGUUUGGAGGAAUAAGGGGCUGUCCAGGCAGUCAACAGACUCUACAGCUGUUUGAGGAGCUAUGGUUGGUACUUCCUGUAUACCCAGGAGCGAGGGAAUAAGCCAAGGAGGAAGUAUCUCAUGAGAAGGGAAUGGACACUGGCAAUCCAGAGUGCCUUACCAUGGACCCAGAGCUGGCAGAGCCACAUGACCAAGAACUGAACCCCCUGAAAUGAUGAGCCAAGGUCACCCUCAAGCUUCUCAUGGACUUCUUGCAUCCAACACUAGGAGGUGAACCCAGCCUGACCUGUCUUCAGGGAGCAGUGUGCUGUGAUGACACAUCAUCUGCAUCCAGGCGCUUGUAGCAAAGAGGCUUCUACAGAAGAGGAAGGAGGCCAGUCAUUUCCAGCCUCAAGCUUGAAUGCUUUCAUGGAACCUCUUCCCUAGGCUGCAAAUAUGGAUUCCUGAGCUGACUGUACAACUUCAACUGCUCCCUUUUUUUCUCCCCACUCUUACAAUUUUCUUGAGGCCUGGGUCCUUUGGGGGGGAUAUCUUGAGUUUCUUGGGAACUGGCUUCAUUCUGGCCUCAAGAAAUGUGUAUUCUUUAGAAUAUGGCAUGAUUUAGAAUAUGAAUGUCUCUGGAGUCUCAAAUAAACCUUAAUUUUCUUGCCA